rfam:HIV-1 isolate COL105 from Colombia genomic sequence.
UUUUUUAAAGAAAAUCUGGCCUUCCUCCAAGGGAAGGCCAAGAAAUUUUCUU